rnacentral:lncRNA from 1 species
UCUUUCUGAGUUUGAUCUAAUUUCGUAUAAUUUGACUUAAUUAUUUUGUUUAUCGAUGAAAAUUUGAGUUCUGAUACUUUUCACGAUUAUAAAAUUACCACAUUGGAUUUUAGUAAUCGCAAAACCCAUGGCAUGGCGAUUUUGGUAAUAGAAUUAUUAAUUUCGAUCUUUUUCAUAUAUACACUCCAUGUAUAUAAAACAAGACUCUUUGUAAAAAAACAAAAAUCAAAAAAAAUAAAUAAAUAAAUAAAGAUUUAAG